GAUGAACGCUGGCGGCGUGCCUAAUACAUGCAAGUCGAACGAGGUGCUUUUGUAGCAAUACGAGAGUAUCCCAGUGGCGAACGGGUGAGUAACGCGUUGGUGACCUACCCCAAAGUGUGGGAUAACAGUCCGAAAGGAUUGCUAAUACCGCAUGUGGUCAUUGGAUUUAGAAACUGAUGACUAAAGGAGCAAUUCGCUUUGGGAGGGACCUGCGUCCCAUCAGCUAGUUGGUGAGGUAACGGCUCACCAAGGCGACGACGGGUAGGGGACCUGAGAGGGUGACCCCCCACAAUGGAACUGAAACACGGUCCAUACACCUACGGGUGGCAGCAGUAGGGAAUAUUGCACAAUGGGCGAAAGCCUGAUGCAGCAACGCCGCGUGUGUGAUGAAGGCCUUCGGGUCGUAAAGCACUUUUCUGGGAGAUGAGAAAGGACAGUAUCCCAGGAAUAAGUCUCGGCUAACUACGUGCCAGCAGCCGCGGUAAAACGUAGGAGGCAAGCGUUAUCCGGAUUCACUGGGCGUAAAGCGCGUGCAGGUGGCGCGGUAAGUUGGGCGUGAAAUCUCCCGGCUCAACUGGGAGAGGUCGUUCAAUACUACCGUGCUUGAGAGCAGAAGAGGAAGAUGGAAUUCCCGGUGUAGUGGUGAAAUGCGUAGAUAUCGGGAGGAACACCAGUGGCGAAGGCGAUCUUCUGGUCUGUUUCUGACACUCAGACGCGACAGCUAGGGUAGUAAACGGGAUUAGAGACCCCGGUAAUCCUAGCCGUAAACGAUGUGAACUUGGCGUUGGUGGGUUAAACUCCAUCAGUGCCGUAGCAAACGCGAUAAGUUCACCGCCUGGGGACUACGGCCGCAAGGUUA
rnacentral:rRNA from 1 species